GAAUGCUGACAUAAGUAACGAUAAAGCGGGUGAAAAGCCCGCUCGCCGGAAGACCAAGGGUUCCUGUCCAACGUUAAUCGGGGCAGGGUGAGUCGACCCCUAAGGCGAGGCCGAAAGGCGUAGUCGAUGGGAAACAGGUUAAUAUUCCUGUACUUGGUGUUACUGCGAAGGGGGGACGGAGAAGGCUAUGUUGGCCGGGCGACGGUUGUCCCGGUUUAAGCGUGUAGGCUGGUUUUCCAGGCAAAUCCGGAAAAUCAAGGCUGAGGCGUGAUGACGAGGCACUACGGUGCUGAAGCAACAAAUGCCCUGCUUCCAGGAAAAGCCUCUAAGCAUCAGGUAACAUCAAAUCGUACCCCAAACCGACACAGGUGGUCAGGUAGAGAAUACCAAGGCGCUUGAGAGAACUCGGGUGAAGGAACUAGGCAAAAUGGUGCCGUAACUUCGGGAGAAGGCACGCUGAUAUGUAGGUGAAGCGACUUGCUCGUGGAGCUGAAAUCAGUCGAAGAUACCAGCUGGCUGCAACUGUUUAUUAAAAACACAGCACUGUGCAAACACGAAAGUGGACGUAUACGGUGUGACGCCUGCCCGGUGCCGGAAGGUUAAUUGAUGGGGUUAGCGCAAGCGAAGCUCUUGAUCGAAGCCCCGGUAAACGGCGGCCGUAACUAUAACGGUCCUAAGGUAGCGAAAUUCCUUGUCGGGUAAGUUCCGACCUGCACGAAUGGCGUAAUGAUGGCCAGGCUGUCUCCACCCGAGACUCAGUGAAAUUGAACUCGCUGUGAAGAUGCAGUGUACCCGCGGCAAGACGGAAAGACCCCGUGAACCUUUACUAUAGCUUGACACUGAACAUUGAGCCUUGAUGUGUAGGAUAGGUGGGAGGCUUUGAAGUGUGGACGCCAGUCUGCAUGGAGCCGACCUUGAAAUACCACCCUUUAAUGUUUGAUGUUCUAACGUUGGCCCCUGAUCGGGGUUGCGGACAGUGUCUGGUGGGUAGUUUGACUGGGGCGGUCUCCUCCUAAAGAGUAACGGAGGAGCACGAAGGUUGGCUAAUCCUGGUCGGACAUCAGGAGGUUAGUGCAAUGGCAUAAGCCAGCUUGACUGCGAGCGUGACGGCGCGAGCAGGUGCGAAAGCAGGUCAUAGUGAUCCGGUGGUUCUGAAUGGAAGGGCCAUCGCUCAACGGAUAAAAGGUACUCCGGGGAUAACAGGCUGAUACCGCCCAAGAGUUCAUAUCGACGGCGGUGUUUGGCACCUCGAUGUCGGCUCAUCACAUCCUGGGGCUGAAGUAGGUCCCAAGGGUAUGGCUGUUCGCCAUUUAAAGUGGUACGCGAGCUGGGUUUAGAACGUCGUGAGACAGUUCGGUCCCUAUCUGCCGUGGGCGCUGGAGAACUGAGGGGGGCUGCUCCUAGUACGAGAGGACCGGAGUGGACGCAUCACUGGUGUUCGGGUUGUCAUGCCAAUGGCACUGCCCGGUAGCUAAAUGCGGAAGAGAUAAGUGCUGAAAGCAUCUAAGCACGAAACUUGCCCCGAGAUGAGUUCUCCCUGACUC
rnacentral:rRNA from 1 species